UGGCUAAGGGUCUUGACCAGUGGGGCACUGAAGAAGCGAGCCACACCUCCAUCGUACGCCCUGCGAGGAGGAAAUUGCCACAGUCACCUCAACCUUCAGCAACCACCAACUUGAUCAAUCAGCAGCCAAUAACGUGAAGUCAUGACCAUUCACCAGCAAAAAGUUUAUGAUUCACCAAAAUAUUAGAUGAUCAUUAACAUUUUUAGCAAUAAUGUAUUUGUCAUUAAGGUGUUAGUGCAUUGGAAAAUCAUUUAAAGAAUGUAUCAGCUAAUUGAAGGCUUAUGUGAUCAUUCAAAGAUAAGCUACCUGAUGAAAAAAUAAAGGUUAAUGCAAUUCAACAACAAAAUUAAUGCUGCAAACAUCUCUCU
rnacentral:lncRNA from 1 species